UGUUCUGGACAGAUGAAUCCAAGUUUGAGGUGUUUGGAUCACACAGAAGAACAUUUGUGAGAUGCAGAACAGGUGAAAAGAUGCUGGAAGAGUGCCUGACACCAUCUGUCAAGCAUGGUGGAGGUCAUGUGAUGGUCUGGGGCUGCUUUGGUGCUGGUAAAGUGGGAGAUUUGUACCAGGUAAAAGGGAUUUUAAAUAAGGAAGGCUAUCACUCCAUUUUGCAACGCCAUGCCAUACCCUGUGGGCAGCGCUUGAUUGGAGCCAAGUUCCUCCUCCAACAGGACAAUGACCCAAAGCACACCUCCACAUUGUGCAAGAACUAUUGAGGGAAGAAGCAGGCAGCUGGUCUGCUGUCUGUAAUGGAGUGGCCAGUCACCAGAUCUCAACCCCAUUGAGCUGUUGUGGGAGCAGCUUGACCGUAUGGUCCUCAAGAAGUGCCCAUCAAGCCAAUCCAACUUGUGGAGGUGCUUCAGGAAGCGUGGGGUGACAUUUCAACAGAUUACCUCAACAAAUUAACAGCUAGAAUGCCAAAGGUCUGCGAUGCUGGAAUUGCUGCAAAAGGAGCAUUCUUUGACGAAAGCAAGGACCGUGGACGACGCAGACAGGAGGGAAAGAAGCCAAUUGGGAAGCAGGCUGACCGACAUCGUCAUCACAGCCACCACAGGCAUGGCGGCCGUGGAAAAAUGAAAAGAGACCUGAGAGGACCACGCUGCUGCUCUUGUGGAUGUGUUAUUCAUCUGAGCGGACUCGACAGUUACUAGGAUACAAAUGGACAACGCGGACUGAUCCUACUGCAGACCUCGAUGAGCCUCGGAUAAUGAAGGCCAGAUAACACCUGGACAGGGAAUCUCUACCAGAAGGACCCGACAGCUUGCAUUAAACUGUAGAGGAGCAAUAUGAUUGGACGAUAACAAAUACAGAACUGAUAACAUAUCUGCUGUCGCUCUCGUCAGGGUAAGAGGCCAGUAGGUUGACAAAUGAGUCAAACGAUUACAAAAUGAAAUCACAUCCCUCUAUGAUAAUAAUGCGAAAAUAAUUCCUUCCAAUUGUUGAACAUCUUCUUUCUAAUGUAUCCAUGGAUUUAGUCAAAUAUAAAGUAAAUCGUCAAAAAUGAAAAAUUGUUUACAGCUUCAAAGAUGCUAAGCAAAAAUACUACAUUUUGACUAUUUAAAAUAAAUAAAUGAAUAUAUAUACACACACACAUAUGAUUACAUAAAUAACAUAAUUUCAACAACUGCUUUUUGGGGGUUGGUGUCAACUUAGCUUUAACCUUUGGAAAAACAACUUCCGAAUCUCCUUUUCUGUCCUACAGACAAAAAUGUGUGGCUCGUGUCAAGUUGUCUUUGGAAUAACCAACAAACUCAUCCGAUUAAACAAUCACACCGAUGUCAACAGAACCGGACCGACUUCUUAUAUGUUGAGACCUCGUGAAAAAUAAAUGUCAUCUCAGAAAGGUUACUACAAAAAUA